AAGCGGAGGAAAAGAAACCAACAGGGAUUGCCUCAGUAACGGCGAGUGAAGCGGCAAAAGCUCAAAUUUGAAACCCUCGGGAUUGUAAUUUGAAGAUUUGGCAUUGGAGAAAGCUAACCCAAGUUGCUUGGAAUAGUACGUCAUAGAGGGUGACAACCCCGUCUGGCUAACCGUUCUCCAUGUAUUGCCUUAUCAAAGAGUCGAGUUGUUUGGGAAUGCAGCUCAAAGUGGGUGGUAAACUCCAUCUAAAGCUAAAUACUGGUGAGAGACCGAUAGCGAACAAGUACUGUGAAGGAAAGGUGAAAAGAACUUUGAAAAGAGAGUGAAAUAGUAUGUGAAAUUGUUGAUAGGGAAGGAAAUGAGUGGAGAGUGGCCGAGGUUUCAGCCGCCCCUCGUGGGCGGUGUACUGCCGACGCCGAGUCAUCGAUAGCGAGACGAGGGUUACAAAUGGGAGCGCCUUUCGGGCGUUCUCCCCUAACCCUCCACACUGCCACCGACGACAUAAUCCACCCAUUUCACCCGUCUUGA
rnacentral:rRNA from 1 species